GCUUCGCGGUCGAGUGGUAAGUACAUUUGCCUCUCACCAAUGAGUUCCGGGUUCAAUCCCCGGUCGAGGAGCU